GACGAACGCUGGCGGCGUGCUUAACACAUGCAAGUCGAACGGAAAGGCCCUGCUUUUGUGGGGUGCUCGAGUGGCGAACGGGUGAGUAACACGUGAGUAACCUGCCCUUGACUUUGGGAUAACUUCAGGAAACUGGGGCUAAUACCGGAUAGGAGCUCCUGCCGCAUGGUGGGGGUUGGAAAGUUUCGGCGGUUGGGGAUGGACUCGCGGCUUAUCAGCUUGUUGGUGGGGUAGUGGCUUACCAAGGCUUUGACGGGUAGCCGGCCUGAGAGGGUGACCGGCCACAUUGGGACUGAGAUACGGCCCAGACUCCUACGGGAGGCAGCAGUGGGGAAUAGUGCACAAUGGGCGGAAGCCUGAUGCAGCAACGCCGCGUGCGGGAUGACGGCCUUCGGGUUGUAAACCGCUUUCGCCUGUGACGAAGCGUGAGUGACGGUAAUGGGUAAAGAAGCACCGGCUAACUACGUG
rnacentral:rRNA from 1 species